GAGCCAUGCAAGCGCGAGUGUGGAAUGCGGAAUCAGAUUAGCUUGAGAAUUUUCGAAUGCAGACAAUUUUCAGGUAAGAGUGAAAAAUCCGGGAUCAGAAUCGCGCUACAAUAUUCGUUGAUCAGUCGGUUUCCACGGUAGGGCGAUGGAAACGCGAGCACGAAAUCCGGGAUCAGUGGUCAUCGUGAUCAAAUAAAUCAUAAUCGUGAUGAAGA